CACCUGGCAUGGGGGUGAGAAGCAGGGAUGUGAGGAGGAGUGGGAGAAGGGGCAGCUGUGGCUGGACAGGAUCAGAGCUGGAUCAUUCCCAACCACUCCUGCAUGAAAUGAGCUGCAGGAGGAACCUCUUUCUAAUUAUCCUGGUGGCAAAUCAGCUCUUCCUUCCAGUUUGGGAUGGAAUUACCUUCGUGGCUGAGGAGUGACUUUCCCCCAGCUCUGGAAUGGGGAAACUCUGCCCUACUGGUGUUGCAGCUCCUCCUGUAAGAACAGGAGCAGAGGCUGUGGCUCCCACACCUUUCCUGGGCUGGGAUGGAGCUGCUGGAACCCCAUGGAAAGAUGGACCAGGAAGUGUCUGUGUGUGAGCACAGCCUAAAACUGAGGAAUUUGGGAGUGGAUGUGAAGCAGGACAUUUAGGAGGCUCUGUGAAGGAACGAGGUUAAAGCCAACAGAAAAUAUCACACAGCUCCUGCAAAAAUACUGAAAUUCUCCCAGCUGCAUUGUGUCCCAGAAAUUGUGUCCAACCAGGUGUCAUUUAACCCAGCAAAGAGAGGAGCUGAAGUAUUUGCAGUCUUUGGAAAGAAGGUUGUGACAUCACUCAGUUGCAGGUAAGAUCCUGACUUGUGAGUAAGAAGCACUGAAAGCAAGUAAGGGACCAUUUCUUUAUGAACCCCUGGGCUGGUUUUACUCCCCUGAAGAAUUUCCUCACUCUUGGAGCAGCCAAGUCUCAUGGCAGGAGCUGUUCGCAAAGUGAGACCGUUUAUCUCAAUGUACAGCUGCAAUAUGAACAUGCAAAUCACCUUUUCAUAAUGCAUUAAAAACGUUCCACUUGAUCAAAAAGGAGAAAAAGAUGAAGUUCAGCAGCAAGCAGAGGGGUUUGAUUUCUGAUACGAACAAUGAAAUAAUUUUAUGAUAUGGAGAGACUCUUAUAUUUCCAGGCAAUAUUGCCAGGAGAGGUUGUUGCUAAAUAUCCCUGUUGUCUGUAUGUCCUUGGAAAGAUGGUGUUGAGGGCACAAAUCCCUGCGAGGUUCCUCCCUCAGUGUCAAUCCCAGCCUGUAUUUCUGUGGCUUUGAGCCGUGUGCUGCAGAGUGGAGCUGCCAGAGCCAGGCACUGAGCAGCAGAGGGCACUGAUCUAACAGGAGUGGGAGAAAAAUCAUCAUUUCACUUCAGCGCAGUCUAAACGGCCCCAAGAUUAAUCUGUUAAUAUCCUCUCAUUCCUUUCCCUCUUAUAUCAGUGUUAAUUGCCAAACAAGUGACAACUUUCCCCAGUAUAUUAUACUGGUCCAUUAUACUCUGCUGCUGCAGAUAUGGUUAUUUGCAAAUUUGCUACAGACUCCUCCACAAACUCCUGAGGGUUUUAUGUUGCUCUUGUAUGUAUGAAUACAAAUAAAUAGAGGCUGCAGUUCCAUCUAUAUCAAAUUUAAUCUGCAUGCUGUGUAAAGCAGUCUAAAUAUUAAAACCGGAUUAUUGGAGUUUUCCACGGGAAUAAUUUUAUUUUUCAGAGUUUACUUUCAAAUCAACUUGUCUCUUUCCUUUGGGUUUGUUUGCCUCCAAAAAGAUGCUUUCUUCUCAGGAUUACGGUAUUUUUAUUGGCUCUGCACUCACAAGUGUAUUUAAGGAAUGGUUUAUACCUGUUGUCAGCUGAGCUGAUAAAUACACCCACCACGGAGACUUGGCAUAAAUAGCCAUCAUAAACCCGGCUGCAUAAAAUACACGGCAUGAAACGCAAAGGAAAAGGCCAGCACGGAUGUGCUGGGGUGAAGGAGGAGGCAAACAGGGGCAGAAGCUCCUGC